rnacentral:tRNA from 1 species
GCAGAUAUGGCGGAACUGGUAGACGCACAGGACUUAAAAUCCUGCGGUAGCGAUACCGUCCCGGUUCGAUUCCGGGUAUCUGCA